rnacentral:rRNA from 1 species
UACGGAGGAUGCAAGCGUUAUCCGGAAUGAUUGGGCGUAAAGCGUCCGCAGGUGGUUAUACAAGUCUGCUGUCAAAGCGCAAGGCUCAACCUUGUAAAGGCAGUGGAAACUGUGUGACUAGAGAGUGAUAGGGGCAGAGGGAAUUCCUGGUGUAGCGGUGAAAUGCGUAGAUAUCUGGAGGAACACCGGUGGCGAAGGCGGCGUUCUGGACUGCAACUGACACUGGAAAAACGAAAGCCAGGGGAG